GGUAUAGUUCUUUUAGAGAUUGACGCUGAUAAUGUCAAUUCCGUAACUUAAAUGUUACCUUUACCU
rnacentral:tRNA from 1 species